GCGGCAGGCUUAACACAUGCAAGUCGAGCGGACCUUUCGGGGUCAGCGGCGGACGGGUGAGUAACGCGUGGGAACGUGCCUUCCGGUUCGGAAUAACCCUGGGAAACUAGGGCUAAUACCGGAUACGCCCUUAUGGGGAAAGGUUUACUGCCGGAAGAUCGGCCCGCGUCUGAUUAGCUAGUUGGUGGGGUAACGGCCUACCAAGGCGACGAUCAGUAGCUGGUCUGAGAGGAUGAUCAGCCACACUGGGACUGAGACACGGCCCAGACUCCUACGGGAGGCAGCAGUGGGGAAUAUUGGACAAUGGGCGCAAGCUUGAUCCAGCCAUGCCGCGUGAGUGAUGAAGGCCUUAGGGUUGUAAAGCUCUUUUAUCCGGGACGAUAAUGACGGUACCGGAGGAAUAAGCCCCGGCUAACUUCGUGCCAGCAGCCGCGGUAAUACGAAGGGGGCUAGCGUUGCUCGGAAUCACUGGGCGUAAAGGGCGCGUAGGCGGCGUUUUAAGUCGGGGGUGAAAGCCUGUGGCUCAACCACAGAAUGGCCUUCGAUACUGGGACGCUUGAGUAUGGUAGAGGUUGGUGGAACUGCGAGUGUAGAGGUGAAAUUCGUAGAUAUUCGCAAGAACACCGGUGGCGAAGGCGGCCAACUGGACCA
rnacentral:rRNA from 1 species